rnacentral:piRNA from 1 species
AAGAUCGUUACUAAGAAAUUGCUUGAAGAA